GGAGCUGUAGUUCAGUUGGUUAGAACGUCCGCCUGUCACGCGGAAGGUCGCGAGUUCGAGUCUCGUCAGCUCCGCCA
rnacentral:tRNA from 1 species